CACAGACUAUACAAGUUCACAAAGCACUUCCUCUGCUGCCCCCUUUGCGAGUUUCCUUCUCUUUAAUGUGGGAAAGUUAUAAGCAGGUCCUGUCGUUGUAGUCAUUCUUGUUGGCAAAGCCUGUUUCCAGAACUAAGUUAAGAAUGUGUAGCAUAUGGGAAGUACAUAUAUUGGCAUUUCUUUUAAAUCUCAUUCUAUCUUUAAUGGGUUACUGCAACCCUUUUUAACUCCUUCCCUUUUUUUAAUGGGUAAUGCCCUGUUAAUAAUGCCAUUAUUCUUUAG